AUUGAACGCUGGCGGCAUGCCUUACACAUGCAAGUCGAACGGUAUCGGGCCUUCGGGUGCCGACGAGUGGCGAACGGGUGAGUAAUACAUCGGAACGUGCCCGAUCGUGGGGGAUAACGAGGCGAAAGCUUUGCUAAUACCGCAUACGAUCUACGGAUGAAAGCAGGGGACCGCAAGGCCUUGCGCGGACGGAGCGGCCGAUGGCAGAUUAGGUAGUUGGUGGGAUAAAAGCUUACCAAGCCGACGAUCUGUAGCUGGUCUGAGAGGAUGAUCAGCCACACUGGGACUGAGACACGGCCCAGACUCCUACGGGAGGCAGCAGUGGGGAAUUUUGGACAAUGGGCGCAAGCCUGAUCCAGCCAUGCCGCGUGCAGGAUGAAGGCCUUCGGGUUGUAAACUGCUUUUGUACGGAACGAGAAGCCUUCUUCUAAUACAGGAGGGUCAUGACGGCACCGUAAGAAUAAGCACCGGCUAACUACGUGCCAGCCGCCGCCGUAA
rnacentral:rRNA from 1 species